rnacentral:miRNA from 1 species
CCAGCACUCUGUGACUGCAACA